rnacentral:misc_RNA from 1 species
AAUAUUGUGUUUAUAGGUUCAAUAUAAGGAUGCAAUUAUGUUUUCUAUUGAUCGCAAGGGAUUUUAUGUGCUGGGGAAGGUUCGUAGUCCAGUCAUAAAGGAUGGCCAAAGUGAAUACCAGUGGAAGGAAUUCAGGUUUACAUUCAAGGAAGAGGCAAGUGAUAUUGAAACUUUUUGUCAUCAACUUGUAGAAAUGGAGGAGGAAGCUGUGAAGAAGGUUUCAAGCUACAGCGGUUUAACAUGAGAGUAUAUGCAACCAGUGGAAAGAUUCAGUUCACUUUUAAGAAACAAGCUAGUUAUGAUCCUG